AGUGAACGCUGGCGGUAGGCCUAACACACGCAAGUCGAACGGCAGCACAGUAAGAGCUUGCUCUUACGGGUGGCGAGUGGCGGACGGGUGAGGAAUACAUCGGAAUCUACUUUUUCGUGGGGGAUAACGUAGGGAAACUUACGCUAAUACCGCAUACGACCUACGGGUGAAAGCAGGGGAUCUUCGGACCUUGCGCGAUUGAAUGAGCCGAUGUCGGAUUAGCUAGUUGGCGAGGUAAAGGCCCACCAAGGCGACGAUCCGUAGCUGGUCUGAGAGGAUGAUCAGCCACACUGGAACUGAGACACGGUCCAGACUCCUACGGGAGGCAGCAGUGGGGAAUAUUGGACAAUGGGCGCAAGCCUGAUCCAGCCAUACCGCGUGGGUGAAGAAGGCCUUCGGGUUGUAAAGCCCUUUUGUUGGGAAAGAAAAGCAGCAGGUUAAUACCCCGCUGUUCUGACGGUACCCAAAGAAUAAGCACCGGCUAACUUCGUG
rnacentral:rRNA from 1 species